GGUCUAUGGUGCAAAUGAGGCCAAUUAGUUUGUGUAACACCUGUUGUGCGGAAGCGUCAACCAACUGUGAGUGAAAAAUAAACAACUACUGGCAGGAGAAAAAAAUAUAUUUAACAGAGAAUUACAACAAGAAGAACACCAAGAUUUAUACUGGUUCGGCAAUUGCCUACAUCCAGUUUGGAGACGAUGGAGUAUUCCAUUAUAAUCAAUGGAGAUAUACAAUAGUGUUUACCACUCAAUUUCCCAAAGACCCAAAUACACCCAACCUCACACACUCACAAAGGAAGAGAAAACAAUGAUACAAAGCAAAGAACAACUAGAGAGAAUUUGUUUCACUCUUUGGCAAAAUGCCUUUCUUUUGCUAUUUUUCUCUUCUACUCAACACUUGGUUGGAUGCUACAAAUGAAACCAUUUGCUUCCAAUUUAUAGCCAAAGGAAGUGGCUUCUCAAAGAAGCCAAAGGUUAGGCAAAGUCAACAAUAGCCUACCACCAUGCA
rnacentral:lncRNA from 1 species